GCACCGGUGGUGUAUGGAACACACACCCUACCUCUUAUCGAAGGGUAUGAUGAAUUCGAAGGGUGAGACGGGGUUCGAUUCCCCUGCGGUGCA